AGAGGAGGAGGAGGACGAGGAGAAGGAGGAGACCAGAUAGCAUCGGCAGCAUCAGUUAGAGCCAGGGAGAGGGGUACGUGGUGGUGGUGGUAGAGGAGGCAGUGGCGGAGUGGUUGAGGCGGUGGAGUAGACAGCUGAGAGUCGUGGUAUCGCCUCUUAUUGCAGCUCGCCAUGACCGCGUGCGCGCUGUGGCUGCUGCUGCUGCUGCUGAUCGCCGCUCCCACGUGGGGGUUUCAGCAGCUGCGUGGACCCGCUGAUCGUUCCCAGCCGGGCCCCGCGGGGCGCUACGACGGCCCCUCGGAGCUUGACCUCGUACUGCGCUUCCCUGCUUCGAGCCGCUAGCAGCGGUGCUCCCAGCGGAGCCCUCCUCGCUCCCUCCUCUUCCGAGGCCCGGGACGCGAGACCCUCGCCGACGAAGCGGCAGCACCCGGGCCGGAGGGCCACCGCCGCCGCCACCGCCGACGAGGAGCCGGGGUCCCCCUGGCGGCCGAGUCCCCGCAGCAAGCGGCAGC